rnacentral:tRNA from 1 species
UCUCUUAGUACAAUCACAGUACAACUGACUUCCAAUCAGUUAGUCCUGGUGUAAGCCUAGGAGAGAGUA